rnacentral:misc_RNA from 1 species
AAGUCGUAACAAGGUUUCCGUAGGUGAACCUGCGGAAGGAUCAUUAGGAAGACGGGCGCGCCCUCUGCGGAGGCCGGCCGCCCCUUCUCAUCCACCCUGUGCAUCGUGACCCUUUUUCGCGCUGUGCGAACCCGCGAGUCCCGAAGCAUAUACGAAAAGGCACAAAAUGGAGCAACGGAUCUCUUGGCUCUC